rnacentral:rRNA from 1 species
UGCCAGACUCCUACGGGAGGCAGCAGUGGGGAAUAUUGCACAAUGGGGGAAACCCUGAUGCAGCGACGCCGCGUGAGUGAAGAAGUAUUUCGGUAUGUAAAGCUCUAUCAGCAGGGAAGAUAAUGACGGUACCUGAGUAAGAAGCCCCGGCUAACUACGUGCCAGCAGCCGCGGUAAUACGUAGGGGGCAAGCGUUAUCCGGAUUUACUGGGUGUAAAGGGAGCGUAGACGGCAUGGCAAGUCUGAAGUGAAAGCCCGGGGCUCAACCGCGGGACUGCUUUGGAAACUGUUAAGCUGGAGUGCAGGAGAGGUAAGUGGAAUUCCUAGUGUAGCGGUGAAAUGCGUAGAUAUUAGGAGGAACACCAGUGGCGAAGGCGGCUUGCUGGGCUUUUACUGACGCUGAGGCUCGAAAGCGUGGGGAGCAAACAGGAUUAGAUACCCGAGUA